rnacentral:rRNA from 1 species
ACGUAGGUGGCAAGCGUUGUCCGGAUUUAUUGGGCGUAAAGCGAGCGCAGGCGGUUCUUUAAGUCUGAUGUGAAAGCCCCCGGCUCAACCGGGGAGGGUCAUUGGAAACUGGGAAACUUGAGUGCAGAAGAGGAGAGUGGAACUCCAUGUGUAGCGGUGAAAUGCGUAGAUAUAUGGAAGAACACCAGUGGCGAAGGCGACUCUCUGGUCUGUAAUUGACGCUGAGGCUCGAAAGCGUGGGUAGCAAACAG